rnacentral:rRNA from 1 species
UACGUAGGAUGCAAGCGUUUGUCCGGAAUUAUUGGGCGUAAAGAGCGCGCAGGCGGUAUGACAAGUCAGAUGUGAAAGAGGCCGGCUUAACCGGCAAGGGUCAUUUGAAACUGUCAGACUAGAGUGCAGCAGAGGAUAGUGGAAUUCCCGGUGUAGUGGUGAAAUGCGCAGAUAUCGGGAAGAACACCCGUGGCGAAGGCGGCACUCUGGGACGGUACUGACGCUGAGACGCGAAAGCGUGGGGAGCGAACAGG